rnacentral:rRNA from 1 species
AUUGAACGCUGGCGGCAGGCCUAACACAUGCAAGUCGAGCGAGCGGCGGACGGGUGAGUAAUGUCUGGGAAACUGCCUGAUGGAGGGGGAUAACUACUGGAAACGGUAGCUAAUACCGCAUACUAUCAGACGUUCCCAGAUGGGAUUAGGAGGUAGGUGGGGUCACGGCUCACCUAGGCGACGAUACCUAGCUGGUCUGCGAGGAUGACCAGCCACACUGGGACGGAGACACGGUCCAGGCUCCUGGGGGAGUCAGCAGUGGGGAAUAUUGCACAAUGGGCGCAAGCCUGAUGCAGCCAUGCCGCGUGUGUGAAGAAGGCCUUCUGGGUGUAAAGCACUUUCAGCGGGGAGGCGUUACCCGCAGAAGAAGCACCGGCUAACUCCGUGCCAGCAGCCGCGGUAAUAC